rnacentral:lncRNA from 10 species
GAGCCGGGCUGCGCGCGGAGGUAGGGGAUGCAGGCUGGGGGUGAGCAGCAGCGACGGUGCCAUCGGCUGUCGCAUCGGCGUCCUCAGCCCCGCCCCGCGCCUAAGCGGCGCUCGCUGGGAGGGCCUGGCCAUCUUCGCGCGGUGGCCGGGCGCUCCCGGGGUCCCCUGCCUGUGCCCCGUUCCCCCAUCCAGAACCUGGGCUGGAGGUGCUAGGGAGCUCUGGGAGCCUGGGCUGCACGCAGGGAAGUGCUCUCGGCCGCCGGGGUCACAAGACUCCAGGGCUUCACAGUGCCCAAGGCUUGGUGGACAUCGAGCCCACCGGGGAAUCUUUGCCAUCAGCGCCGUGUUUUGAUGCCCGCGGCAAGGAACACCACGAAAUAGGUUUCCUGACACUCAGUAGAGUCGGGGUUUCACCGUGUUAGCCAGAAUGGUCUCGAUCUCCUGACCUCGUGAUCUGCCUGCCUCGGCCUCCCAAAGUGCUGGGAUUACAGGCGUGAGCCACUGCACCUGGCCAUGAACUUUAUAUAAAAUGGAAUCAUGCAGUGCUGUGAUAGAAUCAUAACCACUAAAGAUAUCCACAUCCUAACCCCCAGAAUCUCUGAAUAUGUUACCUUGCCCAACAUAAGGGACUUUGCAGAUGUGAUUUAGUUAAAGACAUUGAGACAGGGAGAUUAUGCUGUAUUAUUCAGUGUGCCCAGUUUAAGCAGAAGAGUCCUUUAUAAGAGGGAGGUGGAAAAGGUAAGAGUGAUGGGAUGUGAAAAAGACUCCACCUUCUGUUGCUGACUUUGAAGAUUGACAAAGAGGCCAUGAGCCAAGGACUAUGGGGUGGCCUCUAGAAGGUGCAAAAGACAAGGAAACAGAUACUCCCCUGGAACCUCCAGAAGGAACACAGCUUCUACCAAUGCUUUGACUUUAGCCAGUGAUCCUUGUCAGACUUCUACAGAAUUAUAAAAUAAUAAAUUUGUGUUGUUUCAAGCCCAUUAAAUUUGGGGUCAUUUGUUACAGAAGCAAUAAGAGACAAAUACAGGUAUUUACUCUUUGUGUCUGGCAUCUUUCACUCAACUUUUUUUUUUUAGCCCAAGCCCAUGACAGUAGAUCAUUGUAUUUGUACUAUAUAACAUUCCAUUACAUGAACAUGCCACAUAUUCUUCGUCAACUGUUGAUGGACAUUUGUGUUGUUUCCAGUGUGGGCGCUUAUGAAUACUGUGGCUAUGAACUUUCUUGUACAUGUCUUUGGGAUAAGGUAUGUGCAUAUUUCUCUUGCACAUAUAUAGGAAUAGAAUUUCUGGGUUAUAGGGUAUGCAUGUAUAGUGGCUGCUGUGAUGUAUCCCCAACUCUUUCAGAACGAAAGGACCUAUUCCCUUAGCUGCUGGGAGGACCCCUGGCUGGCAGUCCCAGCUGCCAGGGCUCUGUGCAAACUAGUCUCAGCUGAAAAGAACUUAUUUGGCCAAGGUCACACAUGCCUCCUAGGAACGACCUGUGUCAUUCAAUGACUGGUUGAUAUGUAAGGGUGGGGGAUAUAAAGGCCCCCUCCCCCAAUGAUACCUGGAAUAGCUUUGAAGGGUCACCCUGGAUUCAAAGUUCUUCAGGGAUCAGAGGAGGCUUUUGCAGAGGCUACAUACCAACCCAGCUUCUCCCCCACCAACCCUGCUUCCCUCCCUUUCCUGCAGGUGUUGAUCAUGAGAGCACUCCCUAGUCAACUUUCUUUCUUUUUUCUCCCUCUAAUCCAAUAUGAUUGAUAUCCCUAAUCAACUUCCUGCAUGCUAAUCUCCAUCUCAGGAUCAGCUGCCUGGGAACACAACCUACAACAGCUUACGUUAUUCAGCUUUCAUGGUUAUCAAGCAGUCUUUUUUUUUUUUUUUUCCAAGACGCAGUCUUGCUCUAUCGCCCAGGCUGGGUGCAGUGGCGCAAUCUCAGCUCACUGCAACUUCCGCCUCCCAGGUUCAAGCAAUUCUCCUGCCUCAGCCUCCCAAGUAGCUAGGACUACAGGCAUGUGCCACCAUGCCCAGCUAAUUUUGUAUUUUUAGUAGAGACAGGGUUUCACCAUGUUUCCCAGGCUGGUCUUGAACUCCUGACCUCAAGCGAUCCACCCUCCUUGGCCUUCCAAAGCGUUGGGAAUUACAGGCAUGAGCCACCACGCCCGGGCAGUUUUCUAAAGUGGUUGUCGUCCU